rnacentral:lncRNA from 1 species
AUUUAACCCAUCAGGGACUCUGGGAAUGUCGGCACAUAGUUCACUUUUCUGAUUGUAUUCUUGGACAUCUGGAAUUCCCUGAUCCUGACACAAGACAGAGCCAUGCCUGAAAAGACUGUGGAACUGUACUUUUCAAAGGAUUUAAAAAUCAUGGACAGAGCUGCCUGCCUCCAAUGAGCUCAUGCUCUGUGCUUUGCAAACCUCCUUGACACACUACUAAAGUAGGUCUGGCACUCUUAAAAGAAGAGGAAGUGACACCAAGGAUGCCCACAUAGAGAGAGAAAAGCCAUGUGAGGACACAGUGAGAAGACGGCCGUCUACAAGCUAGGAAGAAGGGUCUCACCAGAAGCCAACGCUGCCAGCACUUUGAUCUUGGACUCCUAGCCCCAAGAAUUGGGAGUAAAUAAAGUUCUGUUUUUUAAGCCA